AUUGAACGCUGGCGGCAGGCCUAACACAUGCAAGUCGAGCGGAUGAAGGGAGCUUGCUCCUGGAUUCAGCGGCGGACGGGUGAGUAAUGCCUAGGAAUCUGCCUGGUAGUGGGUGAUAACGUCCGGACACGGGCGCUAAUACCGCAUACGUCCUGAGGGAGAAAGUGGGGGAUCUUCGGACCUCACGCUAUCAGAUGAGCCUAGGUCGGAUUAGCUAGUUGGUGGGGUAAAGGCCUACCAAGGCGACGAUCCGUAACUGGUCUGAGAGGAUGAUCAGUCACACUGGAACUGAGACACGGUCCAGACUCCUACGGGAGGCAGCAGUGGGGAAUAUUGGACAAUGGGCGAAAGCCUGAUCCAGCCAUGCCGCGUGUGUGAAGAAGGUCUUCGGAUUGUAAAGCACUUUAAGUGGGGAGGAAGGGCAGUAAGUUAAUACCUUGCUGUUUUGACGUUACCAACAGAAUAAGCACCGGCUAACUUCGUG
rnacentral:rRNA from 1 species